UGCGUAGGCGGGCUAAGAAGUCAGUGGUGAAAUCUUCCGGCUCAACCGGGAACCUGCCAUUGAUACUGUUAGUCUUGAGUUCGGCUGAGGUAGGCGGAAUGUGUAAUGUAGCGGUGAAAUGCUUAGAUAUUACACAGAACACCAAUUGCGUAGGCAGCUUACUAGACCGACACUGACGCUGAGGCACGAAAGCGUGGGGAGCGAACAGGAUUAGAUACCCUGGUAGUCC
rnacentral:rRNA from 1 species